rnacentral:rRNA from 1 species
AGUGAACGCUGGCGGUAGGCCUAACACAUGCAAGUCGAACGGCAGCACAGUAAGAGCUUGCUCUUACGGGUGGCGAGUGGCGGACGGGUGAGGAAUACAUCGGAAUCUACUUUUUCGUGGGGGAUAACGUAGGGAAACUUACGCUAAUACCGCAUACGACCUACGGGUGAAAGCAGGGGAUCUUCGGACCUUGCGCGAUUGAAUGAGCCGAUGUCGGAUUAGCUAGUUGGCGGGGUAAAGGCCCACCAAGGCGACGAUCCGUAGCUGGUCUGAGAGGAUGAUCAGCCACACUGGAGCUGAGACACGGACCAGACUCCUACGGGAGGCAGCAGUGGGGAAUAUUGGACAAUGGGCGCAAGCCUGAUCCAGCCAUACCGCGUGGGUGAAGAAGGCCUUCGGGUUGUAAAGCCCUUUUGUUGGGAAAGAAAAGCAGCAGGUUAAUACCCCGCUGUUCCGACGGUACCCAAAGAAUAAGCACCGGCUAACUUCGUG